UUGUUUUUAAUUUUAGUUUUAUUACACUUUGCUUUGAUGUUGAGGGUUGAGUAGAAAAUGAUCAGGUCUGAAACCAGACAUGAUUGUAGUUUUCUGUAUGGAAUUUUGAAACAUUGAGUCAGGAAGCAGUGCCAGGUUAAGAUGGUUUCUUCACGGGUCCACGAGCAGUAUCGCCGUUGAGAGCAUCUCUGCUGAACGAGGAGCCUGCAGCUGGGUUGUUGGACGAAAUUGCCGUGAUUCUCAAUCAUUCUGUUAUAACAGGUUCUUCGGUUAUUUUUGGAGUCGACUCCAUGGAACGAUCUCCCUUCCCCUUCGUUUGGCAUGAAUUACUGGCACCUUUGUUGCAAACGCACACGAGCGCACACUGCUCCUUUGGAUGGAGGUGCGAAGCACAUUGCCAGUCUAAACAAAGGAAAUGAUAACGGAUUUCAUUCUCCAUUUGAUGGACUGGAGUCGACUCCGGAACCGAAGCUGGCUUUUUGUGGUUUGAUUUUGGCUGUAGCAAUAUAUUCUUUCAGUCUAAAUUUUUAAAACAGCAAUUGCAACACCUCAGACGAUAAUUUGAUGUUUAUUUGUGUUGUUUUUUUCUGUUAUUUCAGUGUCGUGUUUUUUGUGCGUUGAACUGAAGUAUGUGCAAAAUUACGAGUGAUGUGCGGCAAAAGUUGCAA